CCUACGGGGGGCUGCAGUGGGGAAUUUUGGACAAUGGGCGCAAGCCUGAUCCAGCCAUGCCGCGUGCGGGAAGAAGGCCUUCGGGUUGUAAACCGCUUUUGUCAGGGAAGAAACGCCUUAGGAUAAUACCUUGAGGUAAUGACGGUACCUGAAGAAUAAGCACCGGCUAACUACGUGCCAGCAGCCGCGGUAAUACGUAGGGUGCAAGCGUUAAUCGGAAUUACUGGGCGUAAAGCGUGCGCAGGCGGUUGUACAAGACAGAUGUGAAAUCCCCGGGCUUAACCUGGGAACUGCAUUUGUGACUGUACGGCUAGAGUGCGGCAGAGGGGGAUGGAAUUCCGCGUGUAGCAGUGAAAUGCGUAGAUAUGCGGAGGAACACCGAUGGCGAAGGCAAUCCCCUGGGCCUGCACUGACGCUCAUGCACGAAAGCGUGGGGAGCAAACAGGAUUAGAUACCCCUGUAGUC
rnacentral:rRNA from 1 species